rnacentral:piRNA from 1 species
UAGCAUUUUCAGAGGGAACGUAGUUUAGU